rnacentral:rRNA from 1 species
AGCGAACGCUGGCGGCAGGCCUAACACAUGCAAGUCGAACGAACCUUUCGGGGUUAGUGGCGGACGGGUGAGUAACACGUGGGAACGUGCCUUUAGGUUCGGAAUAACUCAGGGAAACUUGUGCUAAUACCGAAUGUGCCCUUCGGGGGAAAGAUUAAUCGCCUUUAGAGCGGCCCGCGUCUGAUUAGCUAGUUGGUUGAGGUAAUGGCCCACCAAGGCGACGAUCAGUAGCUGGUCUGAGAGGAUGAUCAGCCACAUUGGGACUGAGACACGGCCCAAACUCCUACGGGAGGCAGCAGUGGGGAAUCUUGCGCAAUGGGCGAAAGCCUGACGCAGCCAUGCCGCGUGAAUGAUGAAGGUCUUAGGAUUGUAAAAUUCUUUCACCGGAGACGAUAAUGACGGUACCCGGAGAAGAAGCCCCGGCUAACUUCGUG